rnacentral:lncRNA from 1 species
ACAGGGUAGGACCCUCCAGAGUCAAGGUCAUGAAAUUAUACUUUCAUAGCAAUGAAACCAUGUGCCUUCUGCAUGCCUCUAUGUCAUCCUGUGUUUCAAAGGCUGAGAGAAAAGUUCCUAUUCUGAUUCCAGUUGCUUCCUUGGAGUUAUUCCUGUGAUCCAUACUACUAUUUGUUUUGUUUUCUGACAGGAACUCAGGACCAAGGUCUUUAAAAGUUACCUCAGGCUCUUGUGGAGGUGCUGUCAACAUGGUUCUAGAUCUGAGUUUAAAAUGACCUGUCCUCUGGGAAAGGAUAUCAGGAGAUUAUGAACCUUUAAUUGAGGGAUAGUGUCUCACCACAGCUUCAGCUGACUCACUUCUCACAAUAGCUACUACGGUGGUGUCAUCCAGUAUUGAGCUCAUGUAUUAUUUGCAAGAACAAACACAUACAGUGGUCAUGGCAUGUGAAACCUGUCC